UUGCUCGCGACGGGCUCUUUCUAGUAUCCCUGCUAUUUCCUGCUGGGACAGAAAGAUUCCAGAGGUCUUGCCUUUCGCUUUCCACCCCCUCCUCUCUCUCUCUCUCUCUCCGCUCUGCGUCGGCGGGAAGAAUUCCCUUUGAAGUGGCUUUCUCCCUUUUGGAAGGACCCCCCUGAUCGGUACUUCUUUGGGCGGGGGGCGGGAGGCGCGAGAGGAAGCAUCGCGCGCCCCUCAAUUCCGCCUGCUGCACAUCGACCGGGGCUGAGCCUUAGCUAGUUUUUCCCCUGCCCCCCUUCCCGGGCAUGCUUUGCUGGACAGGAGGGUAAGGGGGUGGGAUUUUUUCCUCAGCGCUGCUGCCGACCCCCUCCGCCCGCCCCAGGCGAAGAGCUUCACCGGCGCCGGAAAGCCGAGGAUACGGCUGGCGGAGGGGGGGGGGACGAAGGAGCGCGGCUAAAGAGGAUUUCUUCUCCUGCCUGGAUUUGCAUUGCGGCGGUUGUUCCAACGGUCGGGGAAGAAGAUCCUGCUUCCCCCCUCACGCCCUGCCGGGUCUCAGUUCGAUCUUCCUGCGAGCAGCCGCGAGCCAGCGCUGGGCUGGAGGGAUGUGAUACCUGGAGGUCCAGGAUGCUGGCGGCCUCUUUUUAAAAAGCCGGAGGAGAACAUCAGCCUUUCGAAUUACGACUGCGGAAGAAACAGCCGCUUCUCCCCUCCAGCACCUUGAUUUUCUGGUCCGGUUUCUCCUCCUCCCAUCCCCUUCCCUCCUCGCCCCUCUGUUGUUUCUCUUCGGGAUUCUGCCGCACCGCAGCAUCUUCCAAGCUGGAGCACCAUGGAGCUGGAGAACAUCGUAGCCAAUACAGUUUUACUGAAAGCCAGAGAAGGAGGUGGAGGGAAACGGAAAGGAAGGAGCAAGAAAUGGAGAGAGAUCCUCAAGUUCCCACACAUCAGCCAAUGCGAUGAGCUCCGGAAAGGGUUGGAACGAGAUUACAACAGUUUGUGUGACAAGCAACCCAUCGGCCGACUGCUUUUUCGACAGUUUUGUGAAACCCGGCUGGAACUCCUACGGUGUAUCCACUUCCUGGAUGCUGUGGCAGAAUAUGAGCUUUCUCCAGAUGAGAAACGUAAGGAAAUGGGAGAAGAAGUCAUUCGGCAGUUUUUCAACAAGGAGUCCCUGGGCUAUAUGGCAGAAAUUUGUGAACUUUUUAUGAACCAGUGCAUAGAAGACCUACAGAGAAGCCCUUGCAAGGAUCUCUUUGGCAGUUGUGUACAGCGCUUGCAUGAAUACCUGGGUGGUGCUCCUUUCACAAAUUACCAGGACAGUAUGUAUUUUGACAGAUUCCUCCAAUGGAAACACCUGGAGAGGCAAUCCGUGACCAAAGACACCUUCAGGCAAUACCGGAUCCUAGGCAAAGGAGGCUUCGGAGAGGUUUGUGCAUGCCAAGUACGUGCUACAGGGAAGAUGUAUGCUUGCAAAAAGCUGGAGAAGAAGCGCAUCAAGAAGCGGAAAGGGGAAGCAAUGGCUCUGAAUGAGAAGCAGAUCCUGGAGAAGGUCAAUAGCCGAUUUGUGGUCAGUUUGGCUUACGCGUAUGAAACCAAGGAUGCUCUGUGCCUGGUCCUCACAAUCAUGAAUGGAGGUGAUCUGAAGUUUCACAUCUACAACAUGGGCAACCCGGGUUUUGACAAUGAGCGGGUCACCUUCUACGCUGCAGAGAUUUGCUGUGGCCUUGAACAUUUGCACCAGGAGGGCAUUGUUUACAGGGACUUAAAGCCAGAGAACAUUCUCCUGGAUGAUGAUGGGCAUAUACGGAUCUCAGAUCUGGGGCUGGCCAUUAAGAUCCCCGAAGGUGACACCAUCCGUGGCCGUGUAGGAACUGUAGGCUACAUGGCUCCUGAAGUAAUUAACAAUGAGCGCUACUCCUUCAGCCCAGACUGGUGGGGACUUGGCUGCCUCAUCUAUGAGAUGAUUGAGGGCCAAUCACCCUUCCGGGCCCGCAAGGAACGGGUGAAGAGAGAAGAGGUAGAAAAGCGGGUUCAGGACGACCAGGAACAGUAUUCAGACAAGUUCUCUGAAGAUGCCAAAACCAUCUGCAAGUCGCUCCUGACUAAAGAUCCUAAGCAGCGGCUUGGAAACAAAGGUGAGGGGGCCGUCCAGGUGAAGCAGCAUCCAUUCUUCAGGACAAUCAACUUCAAGCGACUGGAAGCUGGGAUUAUGAAGCCCUCAUUUGUGCCAGAUCCUCGGGCUGUGUACUGUAAGGAUGUACUGGACAUUGAACAAUUCUCCACUGUGAAGGGUGUCAACCUAGACCAAACCGACAAUGACUUCUAUGCCAAAUUUGCCACAGGCUGUGUCCCAAUACCCUGGCAGAACGAGAUGAUCGAGACAGAAUGCUUUAAGGAUCUCAACAUCUUUGGACCAAAUGGCACCCGAUCCCCAGAUCUGGACUGGAAGCAGCUCCCUGACCCACCCAAGCGUAGCCUCUUGCAGAGGCUCUUUCGACGUAACCCAAGUGACUUCACCAUCGGCACCAACGUACAUUCCAACCUGUCGGCAGCCCCCUCACCAGCUUGGCCCAUGGCACAGGCUCCCUCCUGACCUCUGGAGCUAGCACUCAUCCUUGUCUUCUCAGGGUUGCCUUAGGCUGAUAUAUGGAAGUCCCUGUCUGGGGCCAGGCUCUGUUACUGCUGGGAGCCGAAGAAACACAGCCUUCCAAUCGGCAGGGCAGCAAUGGUCCAGAAGACCUUUGCCACCUCCUGGUGCUGAUGUGGAUUGGGAGCAUGGAGACUCUUCUUGUCCAGAACCUUGGCUGCUGCUUGUUGACAGGGUCUUCCUUCAUCUUUCUGUACUUUGACUGCACAGGGAGCAUCCAUGGCUCUCCCCCAUUUUCUUUGUCUCAUCACCUCCUGACCCAACUUUCACGGGAGAUCAGCUGGGGAGAUAUACCUGAGAAGGAAGGAUUUAAACACAGAAAGAACCACCAAUGGUGCCUGGAGAUGGCAGAGAUGGGGGCUGGAGUCUUACUGGAGAGAAAAAGAGAAUGCAUAGCUUGGACAAAAUUACAAUGGGGAUGAGAAAGACUCCCCACUCUUGUAUUGGUAUUUCCGGAGACUCAUGGAUAAGUGUGUGUUGGUUAGUGUGUGGAUGUGUAUUGAACUGCUAGCUCCUUGGAGUUCAUUCAGGGUUUUUCCAGGGAUCUCUCCCACCCACACCAUCAAUUCUACAGCCUGGGGCCAUUGCAAAGCCAGAACAUGGAAGACAAAGAAAAUUGAAGAGCAAUUGGUUGUCUUUCCUUCAGGACAUCCUUUCUUGGCUGGUCAUCUUCUAGCUGUGCUGGACUGUCCAGCACCUGCCAUCCCUUAGCAAUACAACCUUCAGACCAGAUUGUUGGGCAGGGUCAACUGGAAUCCAGGAUAUGUGGAAAUCCCCAGAUGCAGGAUGCUGCUUUAGAAGCACUCAAUAGGAAAAGACAGAGAGGCUGAGAGAAGAAGCAAGAGAAGGAGAAAGGACAACAGUGGAGAGGGGAAGGAAGACUCAACAUAGGAAAUUUUGUUUGCAAAUUUCUCCAAACCCAAACAGGAAGCAGGGCUCUGGAGCUAUGUUGAAGAACAGUGUGGAAGUUAGAUACUUGUAGCUCUCCAGAGGCUGGUGGAGCACAACUCUCGGCAUCUCUUACUCUAGAUCUUCCUAGGUGGCCCUGUUGGAAAUGGUCAUUUAACAACUUCUGGACAGCUAUAGAUUUUCUACUUGUAAAUAAGGCUAGAUUUUCUUUAGCUUAUAAUAUACUAUUGUAGUGUUCCAGUUUGACCCUGUUUUCCACCUUUGCUUCUCUGCCAUUUGUUUUUAUGAUCCUAGGAGGCUCUAAAGGAUAGGAUAAUAGAUCUAUGGACAAAGCUGCUGCUUUCCCUUCUGGCUGCCAGAGUGUGGUGCUCUUUCACUGAUUUAUGUGGCUCAGGUUGAGACUGAAACAAUGCAUCCAUUCUAAGAUAACCACAGGGAGCUUCCCAAAUUCUGAGGGUCUCCCUUCCAAAGUAAUUUGCAAAGGAUUGGCUCUAAAUGGCUACAGCCAUCACACAUUGCAAAGGUCAGGGGAAGAUAGAUCUAUUUUUAUCAGAAUUCCUUCUCUUUAUCUUAUCACUUGGCUGCUACAUGUCCUGCUGAAGGAAGGGCUUGCUCUCAGCCUGGUGCUUUCUUUUUUUAAAUAGGCAGAGAUGUCCUUGGAAUAGGAAGAACUUUCUGGGUGAAAUAUCAGGGAAACUCAUUCUCAGCAGUCAGACUUCAGCCUGGGAAUUGCCCUCUGAUCCUCCAGCAGCAGGUGUGAAAAUUUGGGCUCACCCUUGACAAGCUGAGCCCUAAUGAACAGCUUGACCCAGGUAGUGAAGCUCAUCUGUUCAUUAAAUCCCAAGUUCUGGCAAGCCCCGUCUAGAAAGGUUGAUUUCUGGAGGCUUAACUCAUUAAGAAAGACUGAAGACCAAGUCUGUCUUCGAGACCAGAGAGACAGGAGAGAACUUGGGGCCUUUCUCUUGUGCAAGUGACAUCAUGCUGAUGUUUUGAAUGGAUGCCUGACUUUUAAUAACUGUAUGGUAGGCAAAGGAUCCACCAGUAGAACCAGAAAGAAAUUGCAAUAUUUUUUUCUGGGUGUGAUUGUUUAAAAACUGCACAAAUAUGGAUAAUAGUCAAGGAAAUAGAGACUUCUCUUAAUGCCCAAGGUAAACAACUGAACUUCCUGAGCUGUUGAUAUUUUUCCACUCCUUACUUUUAUUUUUUGGAAUCUCAGUUCCUUCUCUACUUCAGUUGCCUCUCACUAAAUCUGUAGCAUGAAGAUUUGUUUUAAAACAAAAACAAUCUAAGUAAAUAGGCAUAAAAUCCUGGUACAGGGGCCACAUACCCACUUUGCAUCCUUGCUCUGCCCACCAGGACCCUUCCAAAAACGUAAGUGCUACACAUGCCCCUUGAAAGUUGCCUGCUUUUUUCCAGGUGCCUGUCUAAUGACAUUUCACUAAAAGGUCAAGCAAGAGAUGUUUGCAAAGAGAAGGAGGCCUUGCAUAGGGAAAACAUACAGCAGCAAAAAGAGGGCCAAGCUUCUUUCCCACCUUCCAUUUCUGCACAAAAUUUGACUCCACUUGUGGAUUAUUCCACAAAGCUUCCUGCAUUACCAUUAGAACACAAAUGCAGAGUGGGGAUUUGGAUUGCUCUGACUUUCAAGAACAGAGGUUCUAGAAAGAACCUCCUGCUCUAAUAUUAACAGGUCAGGCAGACAAUGGUUCAGGUUGCUGUAAAGAGCUGUGGGCGGGCUUUAUGACAGAUUGGGCAUGAAUUUUAUGGCAAAAUGGAACACCGCAAGGGGAAACUUGGAUCUAUUCAAUUAACUCCUUUGUUGAGCCUUAUCAGCAGUCUAAAGUAGAAAGGUCUACCAUAAUGGGAGAAGUUAGACUAUGAUCUUUGAUCUUCCUUUCUGCUCUGUUUAAACAGCUUAUCUUCUCUGCCAUGUGUUGGCAGAGUACUUGAGGCAGGGGGCAUGGUGUUCAUACUAGAAGACAUGCAUAAAGCUUUUCCACAUGAAGGAGGAUCUGUUCAAAUCCAGCAUCUUUGAGCAGACAUGAUGGGGCCCAACAAUGACCUCAUCGAUGCCUGCUCCCCUUCUUAAAGAUGCAAAAGAUUCCGUUGCCCAAAUGGCUUUGUACAAGCAGUCCUCAACUUAUGACCACAACUGAGACCAGGCUUUCCAUUGUUAAGUGAGAUGGUUGUUGAAUGAGUCAUUGCCCAAUUGUAUCACCUUCUGUGCCCCAGUUCUUCAGCAAAUCCGGCUUCCUCUAUUGAGUUGAGUCAUUGGAAGUUGGCUGGGAAGGUUCCAAGUGGUGAUCACAUGACCCUAGGGUGCUACAACUGUCAUAAAUAUAGGCUGAAUUGCCGAGCGCCUGAAUUUUGAUCAAGUGACCGUGGGAUGUUGCCACUGUUAUAAGUAUGAGAACUAGUUGUAAGUUACUUUUUUCACCACUGUUGUAAUUUUGAACAGUUGCUAAAUGGAUGUAAGUAGGGGACUACCUGUAGGAUUUCCACUGCCCUCUAAUAGAAGGAAAGACAUCUCAGCAGUAACAGAAUAACAGAGUUGGGAGGGACCUUGUAGGUCUUCUAGUUCAACCCCUGUUCAGGCAGGAAACCCUAUACCAUUUCAGACAAAUUGUAAUCCAAUCACUUCUUAAAAACUUCCAGUGUUGGAGCAUCCACAAUUUCUGGAGGCAAGUUGUUCCACUGAUUAAAUUUUUUCUUAGUUUUAGGUCACUUUUCUGCUUGAUUAGUUUCCAUUUGUUGCCUCUUGUCCUACCUUUACGUGCUUUGGAGAACACCUUGACUCCCUCUCCUUUGUGGCAACCCCAUUAAUGCCAACCUGACCCAUUGUGCAAGAUUUUGGAGAAUCUGCUAAUUGAAAUAGUAGCCUCUCUUGACAUAUUGACUCCUAGAAUUCUUCCAAAAACGUAACUGGUAGAAAGGGAAUUGAUUCUAUAGAUGGGUCAUCCAAUGAAUGGAUGGAUUGGGUGGAUUGUUGGAGCCCUGACACAGUGUUUAUAUCAUUUCAUGUUAAUUCAAUCUAUAAAAUCAGUUACAGACUGAGAGGGGCUUGGUCCAAAAUAGGUGAGCUGCUGCUGGGAUUUAAUUGGCCAAUAGUCACAUAUUGUGAGCACUCUGCCUAAACCUGUCUUGGCUCAAUCCCCAUCACAUACUUUAUUGCAGACCUCUUUCUCACAUACACAUACCUACAGACAAGGAUUGGGCAAAAAAAAAAAUACAACUUUCAGCCAAAAUCAGGAGGAGAGAGAAAGAGGAAAAUAUCUGAAAUUGUGAUUUGCACAUCACACUAAGCCAUACAAUGGUUGGCUGGCCUGGAGUUCAGUGUAACGUUUGUUUGCAGCCGGGUAUAGUUUAUUGAAUAAAUUGUGGUUAUACAGUGGCCUGGUGUGAUGGGUGAACCUCAUCUAGGUGAGAACCUCCAAAGGAACCAAAUAGGAAGAAACUUGAAAGGACUAUGAGCAGAAUGUUAAGGAACUGUUGCCUUCUUCGUCUGAGAAGAACAAAAGGAGGAAAUAUUCUGUGGGUGGAGUGAUCCUCUUGACUUCAGACCCUUACACUUUUUUUGUAUUUCCCUUUUCUUUGUACAUCAGUGUUGUUGGCGUUGGUCUAAUGCUGGCUUUUUAUUUCUUUCUCUUUUUUUACACUGCUCAUUUCUGAUUCUGGAGCAUUUGGGUUCUGACUUCUUGGGUUUUUAUUUUGUACAUUUGUAAAUAUUUGUAUGUUGAAUGUUUGGAUGUACAUUUUUAAACUUGAAAAAGCUGCAAGCCAAGCCAUGUUUGGAAAGGUACCCCUAAUGCUUCGGGGUAUUUUUUUUUAAUUGGGAAUACAGAGGGAGGUGGGAGGAAAGAAAUGAAUCAAAAGUUAUUAUAAUAUAAAGUCCCUAUUCCAGUCAAAGGAAGCCAGAGCAGAGAGGGGGGAAAUUAUCUCAAUCAGUCAACUGGGAUUUCUAUUCCUCCCGAUUUUAAAAUUUCAUACAGUAUAUAUGUACUAUGGUUGCUGUUUUUUCUUGUUACUUAUUCCCAGGGCUGUGUGUAAUCUGCAUUGAAUAAAACAUAUACACCAAAUCUCCACCAAAAAGAGUUGCAUUCUCUGAAUUACCUGAUAAAGCCAGUUUGACCUUAAGGUACCGGGCCAAAAACUAGGAGACUGCGAGUUCUAGUCCUCCUUUGGCAAGAAAGAUGGCUGGGUGACCUUGAGCCAAUCACCAGGAGGCUGUGAACUCUAGUCCUGUCUUAGCCAUGAAAACCAGAUAGGUAACUUCGGAUCAGGAAGGUAAAGGCAAAUCUUACCAAGAAAACCGAAAGAAUUGUCCAAGCAGUUACCAGGAAACAAAAAUGACACACACAUUCAAAGGGGUGGUA